AAUAUUUUGGAAAAAUGUGAGUGGCAACCCUGAUUGUAAGGUAACUUGCCGGCAAAGUUACCCCUGCUGAGAAAUUUAAGGUUCUGUGUUGCGGCUCUCUCUCUCUCUCUCUCUCUCUGGGUUUCAACUUUCAAGUCCACGCCAUAUCCCUAAUCUGCGUUACCCUAUUUCACCUUUUCACUACAAAUAUCGUAGUCGGCAGCGUACAAGGGUUUGGCUCAUGGAACAUGGUUGCAGAAAGUAUGGGAGAAUCUGUAAAGCUCAGGAGGGAUAGCACCUUCACACUGAUGAUGCUGUUUAUGUUCAUAGCAGCAUAUAUUUGGCGCUAUCUAUUCUGAGCUUCAUAGCUUCUUCUUCAUACUGUAACACCACACUGAAUGUGUUUUCCCUUCCCUUCUUUCUUUUCAUAUAUCAGUUUAUUCUGAAGCAGAAAUUUCAUAUGACGAUCGAUGGAGUCUUGUUCAACCUAAGUUCAGUCUGCAAGUUAGACAUGUAUAUAUGAUCACUACUUGUUGUAAGCAUGUUGACAAUGGUUUUCGCACGAUCUGUGUCUAGUUAAACAUGUUUUCUUCUUCUGUUGUUUGAACUAUAUUAUUAAGUUUUGUGAUUUUUGAUCUUUUGAAAGUAGUUAUUGCUGAUCCAUUUCGAUCAUCUACAGGCUCAGUCACGGAAGAUAAUAUGAUGAAUAAAUUUUCAUAACA